UGAGGAAUAUUGGUCAAUGGACGAGAGUCUGAACCAGCCAAGUAGCGUGCAGGAUGACGGCCCUAUGGGUUGUAAACUGCUUUUGUUUGGGAAUAAUCGACAUUACGUGUAAUGUUUUGCAUGUACCAUUCGAAUAAGGACCGGCUAAUUCCGUGCCAGCAGCCGCGGUAAUACGGAAGGUCCAGGCGUUAUCCGGAUUUAUUGGGUUUAAAGGGAGUGUAGGCGGUUGGUUAAGCGUGUUGUGAAAUGUAGAUGCUCAACAUCUGACUUGCAGCGCGAACUGGCUGACUUGAGUACACACAACGUAGGCGGAAUUCAUGGUGUAGCGGUGAAAUGCUUAGAUAUCAUGAAGAACACCGAUUGCGAAGGCAGCUUACGGGAGUGUUACUGACGCUUAAGCUCGAAGGUGCGGGUAUCGAACAGG
rnacentral:rRNA from 1 species